CGAAAACACAUAAAAAUUACAUGUAGCAUUGAAAAUUUAUAAAUUAGGUAUCACACGAUACGAAGAAUAUUCCAAAACACAGAGGCCAGUAAGUGAUUCGUACGCCGAUCUUUAAGACGUUAGACACCUAAAAGUUUUACAAUUUACGUAUAUAUACAGAAAAUAUACACAGGAACAUUAAAUAUAUUUCUGCAAGUAUUUAACAUUGAAGCGCACAAAAUGCAUAUGCUUUUCAUGUUGAAAUUGACGUUAGUUAUUUUUUUAAAUGAAGCGUACGCAUAUGCCAUGCAAUAUACCGAAAUAACAUUGCUGCCGGCAUGGAACCCGUCAGGCGCAACAAAGGUACCAUUAACUUUGAAAGUUUUCGGCAAAUUGAUUCAGUUGAACUUACGUAGAAACGACAAGAUUGUAGCAUCUGAGUUUGAAAUCUGGAAACAUAAUACAAAAGGCGUCACAGAAAAGUUGUCGCAAUUAAACACACCGGAUCCCUGCUAUUACCUUCACAAGGAUCAAAUCAGCUCCGCGGCCAUAAACUUUUGUCAUAAGAACGGAUUGGAAGGACUCGUUAUUCUGCAAAACGCUAGAUUGGAGAUUAUGCCUUUGCAAGACAAUCUCGCGUCGUCCUUAAUGGGCCAUCCUUACGUUAAGAAAGAAGCUAAUGUCUCAUUUGGCAUACCUCAUGUGAUUACCCGAACACUGCUAAAACAUCCUGCUGAUUCGGAUUUUUUUUGUAUGAGUAAUCUUAAACGGAAGCGGCGUCAUGUGGAAAAUACCGAAAAAAACUUGACCAUAGAACUGGCUGUAUUUGUCGACAAAACUGCACGUGAAUUGUUAUUUCCUUUUCUGGACAAAGAUGAUGAAAAAGUACGUAACUUGAUACUUGCGUACAUAAAUGGUAUCCAAGCAGUGUUCCAUCAUCCGAGUUUCGGUGUUCCUAUCGAUAUCUCAUUGAUAUACUUAGAAAUCAUGGAAACGCAGCCGUCGGAUCUGCCAAAUGGCGGUGAUGCUUACAUGCUUCUGAUAACGUUUUGCAAAUACAUGAUUAUUCGCAAUCUUUCGGACGACAAUCCACGUCAUUGGGACAUUGGUCUUUAUGUAACCGGAAUAGAUCUUUAUAGAGACGUAGGAGACCAACGGACUUACGAAUUUACGGGACUGGCUUACAGAGGAGGAGUAUGCAAUAAUUGGUCCUGCGCGAUGGUAGAGUUCGGUGUAAAGUCUGACCAUCUGCUUACAACUGCGGGUUUUCAUUCGAUUUAUGCGGCUGCUCAUGAGAUCGGUCAUGUCUUAGGAAUGCGGCACGAUUCGGAUAACAAUACGUGUUCUCAUAAUAAGUACAUAAUGGCACCUACACAAGGUCUUCGAGAACAGACGACUUGGUCCGAGUGCAGCCGUGAGAAAGCGAAAAAACUUUGGCGGACGAAACCUUGUCUUUUAAAUUACUCAAAAUCACAAAAUAUUUCAACGUCUGCGCUUGACCACUUGCGGUAUCAUGAUUUACCCGGAAGAGCAUGGACCGCUAAAAUGCAAUGCGAAUUACUUUUGAAAGACAAGGAAGCGAGCGUAGUUACGCUGCAUGAUGUGUGCGAGUCUUUACAGUGCGAUGUACCUCGCAGUAAAGAGUUCUUUUUCGCGGGACCGGCGCUAGAUGGAACAUAUUGCGCGCCCAACAAAGAAUGUCGUGGCGGAGAAUGCGUGCCCGUUCGCGAAUUGCCAGUCGUUUCAAACUUUAGUUUGGGUAGAUGGACUGAGUGGAAAGAAGCUUCUUGUAAAAGCGCUUGCUUAGAGAAUUCCAAAGGUGUAAUAAUAAGACGACGAUUAUGCGAGAAGCAAAAUUACAGCGCGGCGGAUUGCGAAGGGCCACAUUACGAUGUAGUUCUGUGUAAUGAUUCGAAACUCUGCACAGUAAAACGCCAAGCGAUCAAUGAGUUUAUUACUGAUAAAUGCAAUUUCUUCAAAAAAUAUUUAUACAAAUAUGACGCCAACUUGAUAGGAACGCAGAUGCCUCAUGUUGAAGAUUCGCCGUGGGAAGCAUGCGCUAUAUUCUGCCGUCGAGACAACGUUACUUUUUAUUACACACCACGAACGGCAUUAAUCGCGAUUGACAUCAACCCGUAUCUUCCGGAUGGAACGUGGUGCCACUUCAAAGAUGGCCAAGAUUAUUUUUGUCGUAAGCAUUAUUGCCUACCGGAAAACUACCAAUUCGAAGAAAUAUUGUCGAGAGAUCAUCGUCAUGAAUGAUAACAGCCAUUAUGAAAAUCUAGAGAAAAUAGCAUCGAUUUCUCGCACGAUGAAAAUGAAAGGAUCAAGGAUUAUAAUGUCAAAUUAUAGACGUUCGAAGCAAGUUAUUACUUAUUAAAAAAAUAUUAUACAAAAUGAAUGAACCAAUAACUGGGAAGUAAUUUUUGAAAAAUGGUUGAACUGGUGUGCAAUAUAAUGUGGAGAAUAUUUAGUUUGGUGAAAAGUUUUAAUGGAAAAACAUCAUGUUAGUGUUAUUAGAGUUAUGAUAAUGAUUUAUUUGGCUAGAUCAAUAUGGUUACACAAUUUACUGCGAGUUUAUUUAAUCUUAAGGAAUAAGUUAUUUAUGACAUCCAGCAUAAAAUUUAUUUCUUUAAUAAUAUCUUCGUAUUUUGCUUCAAGCGUAU